rnacentral:piRNA from 1 species
UCCAUCACGGAGAACGGCUGCAUCGG